UACAGAGGUCUCAAACGUUGUUCGGAUUCAUUGGGCGUAAAGGGUGCGUAGGCGGCGCGGUAAGUCGGAUGUGAAAUCUCGGAGCUUAACUUCGAAACUGCAUUCGAUACUGCCGUGCUUGAGGACUGGAGAGGAGACUGGAAUUUACGGUGUAGCGGUGAAAUGCGUAGAUAUCGUAAGGAAGACCAGUGGCGAAGGCGGGUCUCUGGACAGUUCCUGACGCUGAGGCACGAAGGUCAGGGGAGCAAACGGG
rnacentral:rRNA from 1 species